rnacentral:rRNA from 1 species
GACAGAGGUGCCAAGCGUUAGGCGGAAUCACUGGGCUUAAAGCGUGUGUAGGCGGAUCGUUAAGUGCCUUGUGAAAUCCCACGGCUUAACCGUGGAACUGCUCGGCAUACUGGCGGUCUUGAGCAACCUAGGGGCGAGCGGAACAAAUGGUGGAGCGGUGAAAUGCGUAGAUAUCGUUUGGAACGCCAACGGUGAAAACAGACAGCUGGGAGUGUGCUGACGCUGAGACACGAAAGCCAGGGGAGCGAACGGG